CCUUUCUGACGACACACGUUUCUGUAAACAUGAAUCAUUCAGUUAAAAUCAAAGAGGCAGAAUACAAGUAAUCAAACAUCACCAUGGAUGGAAAUAUGCUCUGAAAGAAUGAAAGAUAGCAACUUCCAAUCUGCCUUGUUCUUCAUUAUUGCACAACACUAGCUAUUAUGCGACAUUUGGCUUGUCCAAAACAGAGUGAUGUAGAACAAAAGAAAGAAUCGAAAGCAAAGAAUGAAAAAAUCAAGGACCAAUACUUGAAAAAGAGAAUUAAUUCUCA
rnacentral:misc_RNA from 1 species